ACGUUUGUCAAUUUUGUAUUUAAAAUAAUUCUUUUUAACAACAGAUUACAGCAUAAUAUCCGUUGAGGAGAUCCGAAGUAUAGAUUUCUAUAAAGUGGAGUACUUGUGUUAUCUUCCAAUAUUGGUACCCUUAUUCAAAGAGAAGAUAUACGAGAUUUAUAAACUUUCAAAGAUAUUUGCCAAAUCGGGAAUUGAAGCGUCUUCCAGAUAUGACUUUACACUUUACAGAAAUUUUAACAGUUUUUUGUGGAAUUCUUCUUAUGUGCAAUGCCAGGAAAUUAUCGCCCUUAGAGAUAGCCAUUAGAAGCAAUCUUCCUGAUGGCCAAUCCUUCAAAAUGUUUCUGGAGGUCUGUGAAGCCUGUGGAGAACUGUAUGGAUCUGCCGUAACACAUUUCUGCCUAAUAGAACGUUCUCUCGGCACAUAUUUAAACUGCCUAUUGGCCGUGGGAUUUAAACGCUAAUAGGAUUAUUGGAUUAUUAACCUAAAAACCUGCUAGUCACAGGACUAAUACUAAAAUCAUUUCUUUAAAUGGAAUUCAACAUUUCUUUGCAUGAAAUCCAAAUGUUUUACUUAUUCUCGAUUAUAUAACCUACUCGAUUUCAAACAUCUUUUCGAAAUGUAUGUUAAAUAUAAUCAUUUCAUUUGUCAGACACUUUGUAACAUCAAAUAAUCAAAACUGCUC